rnacentral:rRNA from 1 species
AGAGUUUGAUCCUGGCUCAGAAUCAACGCUGGCGGCGCGCCUAACACAUGCAAGUCGAGCGAGAAAGCAGGAGCAAUCUUGUGAGUAAAGCGGCGUACGGGUGAGUAACACGUGGAUCAUCUACCUCUUUGUGGGGGAUAACUCUGGGAAACCGGAGCUAAUACCGCAUAAGUCCGAGAGGAGAAAGCAGCAAUGCGCAGAGAGAGGAGUCCGCGGCCGAUUAGCUAGUUGGUAGGGUAAAAGCCUACCAAGGCUGAGAUCGGUAGCCGGCCUGAGAGGGCACACGGCCACACUGGCACUGAAACACGGGCCAGACUCCUACGGGAGGCAGCAGUGGGGAAUCUUGCACAAUGGGGGCAACCCUGAUGCAGCGACGCCGCGUGAGCGAUGAAGCCCUUCGGGGUGUAAAGCUCUUUCGGCAGGGAAGAUUAUGACGGUACCUGCAGAAGCAGCUGCGGCUAACUACGUGCCAGCAGCCGCGGUAAUACGUAGGCAGCAAGCGUUGUUCGGAGUUACUGGGCGUAAAGGGUGUGUAGGCGGUUCUCUAAGUUUGGUGUGAAAUCUCCCGGCUCAACUGGGAGGGUGCGCCGAAAACUGGGGGGCUAGAGUACUGGAUGGGAGAGUGGAAUUCCUGGUGUAGCGGUGAAAUGCGUAGAUAUCAGGAGGAACACCUGUGGUGUAGACGGCUCUCUGGACAGUAACUGACGCUGAGACACGAAAGCGUGGGUAGCAAACAGGAUUAGAUACCCUAGUAGUCC